CGCAAAAACAAGGACCUGACCUGUUUCUGUAUUGUAGUCGAAAACUACUUAGCAGUGGCGCUGAAAACAUCACUUCAUCUGAAGUUUGGACGUUUCUCAGGUAGAAACUUGCUUCUGGAACUAAAUUACAGUCUAUUCCCUCCUCUUCAUCUCCUUUGCUGCCCUUGCUGAGGCGCUGGAAGCAGUGGACUGUGGAAGCCAGGAAGAAGCUGGCCAUGAUGGCCACCACUGAGACAGAGAUGCCGGAGAAUAUAACAAUGAGGUAGUCAGUUAUGGUGAGGAUACCACGGCACUCUCGAAAACUGUCUUCAGUGAGUAAACUGAGGGGGACACGACGCCCAUCCAGAGGCAGGGAGCAUUCUAUUCCUUCCAUACCUGCGAAGAGAGAAGACGACAAGAGAACCAGCUGACAGACAACCAAGAAAAUUAAGCAACUAAGCAAAAAAUAAGGACUCAAAAUGAAAGGAGGUUAUCUCUGCAACAGCAAGAUCUAUAUCUUGUAUAAUAAUAAAGUAUGUCGCUUUUCAGUUCCUCCCACUUCCCACUGUGUUCGUCCGUGGUCACCUGUGUCGCUGCCCUGUCUUUCCCAGCCGUGUCGCCUCCAGUUUCUCCUGAUGUCAUGCCCUGGUGUGUCUCUGGCUUUUGUUCCUCUUGUUUCUCAUUGAUUUGUACUAUGUCUUUGUUGCGCUGUGUUUAAGCUUCUUGUUGCUCCUCUCUCUUUUGUCCUUUGUGGCUCGUUUUUGGUUUUCCUUGGUUGCUUGGUUUUUAUAUUUCAGCUGUGUUUAAUAAAGCUCGCUUGUUGGUCCCUUA